AUUUUUGACCUGUUCUCAACAGCUGACGCUCCUCCACACACUCCUCCACAUCCAGGCGGAUUCACAGCUCCAGUAAAGCUCACACACAGGUCAGCAGUCCAACAUCAGUUCCAGCAGGUGUUCAGUCAGGAGAUCUGUGGCUCUGUGGUAAGAGCGCUGCCCCACAGCUUCAGGGGUUGCUGGUAUCGGUCCCAGCCAGAACUCUGCGAUAUGUGUGAAUGGCGGCAUCAGCGAGCUGCUCUUUUAGCCUGAACACCUUUGACAACAGCGACAGAUCAACACAGGUACACCGUUUUACUGGCGUCAAGUUGAGCUCCAGCAGAUGACAGCUCAGUGCCAGACUCAUAAUGUCAGUCAACAGCAGAUAUUACAGCCAGACAGCGAAGACAAGCCACAGCAAGUGCAGAAAUGGAGAGUAACGCGACUCACCUGUAAGUGACUUUGUUCUGUUGGUUUAGUUUGUAGUGAUGUUG